GCACUGACUCCAUCACGGUGUGAGGAGCAGCAGCUCAGGGCCGACUGGGAGCAGAAAUGCUAGAUUUUUCUUUCUUGGGGACAGGCAGUGCAGGAGGGAGGCUGUGUGGGAAUACUCCGAGGAGCAGGGUCGCUCUGAGUUUCACCUGUUCCUGCCAUUUUCCAGGUGGUUCUUUAGAUCACUGGGUCGGAAGGAGGCUGAGAGGCAGCUUCUUGCUCCAAUCAACAAGGCCGGCUCCUUUCUUAUCAGAGAGAGUGAAACCAACAAAGGUGCCUUCUCCCUGUCUGUGAAGGACGUCACCACCCAGGGGGAGCUGAUCAAGCACUAUAAGAUCCGCUCCCUGGAUGAAGGGGGCUACUACAUCUCCCCCCGGAUCGCCUUCCCCUCGCUCCAGGCCCUGGUGCAGCACUAUUCUAAGAAGGGGGAUGGUCUAUGCCAGAGGCUGACCCUGCCCUGUGUGAGCCCGGCCCCGCAGAACCCCUGGGCCCAGGAUGAAUGGGAGAUCCCCCGGCAGUCUCUCAGGCUGGUCAGGAAACUCGGGUCUGGACAAUUCGGCGAAGUCUGGAUGGGUUACUACAAAAACAACAUGAAGGUGGCCAUUAAGACGCUGAAGGAGGGAACCAUGUCUCCAGAAGCCUUCCUGGGUGAGGCCAACGUGAUGAAGGCUCUGCAGCACGAGCGGCUGGUCCGACUCUACGCA
rnacentral:sRNA from 1 species